rnacentral:misc_RNA from 1 species
GAAAUGCGAUAAUUAAUGUGAAUUGCAGAAUUCAGUGAAUCAUCGAGUCUUUGAACGCACAUUGCGCCCCCUGGUAUUCCGGGGGGCAUGCCUGUCCGAGCGUCAUUGCUGCCCUCAAGCACGGCUGGUGUGUUGGGCUUCCGUCCCUGGCAACGGGGACGGGCCCAAAAGGCAGUGGCGGCACCAUGUCUGGUCCUCGAGCGUAUGGGGCUUUGUCACCCGCUCCCGUAGGUCCAGCUGGCAGCUAGCCUCGCAACCAAUCUUUUUAACCAGGUUGACCUCGGAUCAGGUAGGGAUACCCGCUGAACUUAAGC